ensembl:lncRNA novel transcript
CCUAAGAAGAUGUAGAUAAAGUGACUGCAAGGACCUCCGCUGACCUGAGCACUUCCUGCAUGAAAGGGGCUCAAUACCAAGGAAGAAAACAGAUACAUGCACCCUUUCUAAGUAGCAAAACUGGGUUCAAAUCCUCGGCUACAUCACUUAUGUGAGAUGAAGUCCCACUAUAUUGCCAAGGCUGGACUUGAAUCCCUAAGCUCAAGUAGUGUUCCCACCUCACCCUCCCAAGUAACUGAGACUACAGGUGCACACCACUGUACCAGCAUAAUUGCAUAUCUUAUCAAUCAAUCCACAGCCACUAAAUACCUACUGAGGUAUCUGUGUCCCCUGGGCUUUUUCCAAGAGCUUUCAAUAUGGUUAGAUUUGUUUAUUAAAUUUGCAUAAAUAUGUGA